ensembl:lncRNA
GGGGGGACAUCUGCGGGGACGUGGGGACACACAUGGGGACACCUGGGGACACACCUGGGGGGACACCUGGGGAACACCUAGGGACAGCUGGGGACACAUCUGGGGACACCUGAGGACACCUGGGGGCAUCUGGGGACUGAAACACAGCUGGGGACACCUGGGGGACAUCUGGGUGGACAUGGGGACAUCUGGGGACACCUGGCGGGGACAGAAACACAGCUGGUGACACCUGGGGACACCUGGAGACCUUCCCGGGACCCCCCAGGACGUUGUCCUCUGUGUCCUCAUGGCCCCAUGGUGGCCUCUGUGGUGGCCCUGCCAUGUCCUCUGUCAUCACCCCAUGGUGGCUUCUCCAUGUUCUCGUGUUGUUCAUCAUGGUGGCCUCCAUGUCCUUGUGUCAUCCUCAUGGUGGCACCUCCGUGUCCCCUGUCAUCCCCCUGGUGUCCUCCAUGUCCCCAUGCCAUGUUCAUGGUGGCACCUCCAUGUCCCCUCUCAUCCUCAUGGUGUCCUCCAUGGUGGCCCCUCCAUGUUCUCAUGUCGUCUCCUUGGUGGCCCCUCCAUGUCCCUGUGUCAUCACCCCAUGGUGGCCUCUGUGGUGGCCUCUCCCUGUCCUUGUGUCGUCCUCAUGGUGACCCCUCCAUGUCCCUGUGUCACCACCCCAUGGUGGCCUCCAUGGUGGCAUCUCUAUGUCCUUGUGUCAUCUCCAUGGUGGCAUCUCCUUGGUGGCACCUCCAUGUCCCUGUGUCAUCACCCCAUGGUGGCCCCUCCAUGUCCCCUGUCAUCCUCAUGGUGUCCUCCAUGGUGGCCCCUCCAUGUUCUCAUGUCAUCUCCUUGGUGGCCCCUCCAUGUCCCUGUGUCACCACCCCAUGGUGGCCUCAUGGUGGCAUCUCCUUGGUGGCACCUCCAUGUCCUUGUGUCAUCCUCAUGAUGUCCUCCAUGGUGGCCCCUCCAUGUCCCUGUGUCAUCACCCCAUGGCGGCCUCUCCAUGUGUCAUCCUCGUGGUGGCCUCUCCCUGUCCUCGUGUCGUCCUCAUGGUGGCACCUCUGUGUCCUUUGUCACCACCCCAUGGUGGCCUCCAUGGUGGAACCUCCAUGUCCCUGUGUCAUCACCCCGUGGUGGUCUCUGUGGUGGCCUCUCCAUGUCCUCGUGUUGUUCCUCAUGGUGGCACCUCCAUGUCCUCAUGUCAUGACCAUGGUGGCUUCCAUGGUGGCACCUCCAUGUCCUCAUGUCAUCCUCAUGGUGUUCUCCAUGGUGGCAUCCAUGUCCUCAUGUCAUGACCAUGGUGGCUUCCAUGGUGGCACCUCCAUGUCCUCAUGUCAUCCUCAUGGUGUUCUCCAUGGUGGCACCUCUAUGUCCUUGUGUCAUCUCCAUGGUGGCAUCUCCUUGGUGGCACCUCCAUGUCCCGAUGUCAUCACCCCAUGGUGGCCCCUCCAUGUCCCCUGUCAUCCUCAUGGUGUCCUCCUUGGUGGCCCCUCCAUGUCCCUGUGUCACCACCCCGUGGUGGCCUCUGUGGUGGCCUCUCCAUGUCCUCAUGUUGUUCCUCAAGGUGACGCCUCCAUGUCCUUGUGUCAUCCUCAUGGUGGUCUCCAUGGUGGCACCUCCAUGUCCCCAUGUCAUGUCCGUGGUGGCCUCCAUGGUGGCACCUCCAUGGCCCUAUGUCAUCUCCUUGGUGGCCCUUCCAUGUCCCCGUGUCAUCACCCCAUGGUGGCCUC